CAGGCUCCUUCUGCUCGUCCUGCUGCCAAGCCUGAAGCCAGAGCUCAGAUUCAGCUCUGGAUCAGCGUCAUGCAGAGUCAACACAUCCUGUUGUUAUCCACCAAAGAAAAGGCCGUACAACCAGGGAGGGGAACGCAAACAGCAGAGCCGACAUGCAUAUGGAUGUUUGGUUUGUUAUCUAUCAGUGAGGAGUCUGCAAGUGAUGAGAUCCACGAGGAGAGUCCAGAUUACAUUACGAUGUGAUCAUCUGCUUGUGAAAAUGAACAUGUUUGACUGUAGUUUUGUGGUUUUACAGUAUCUUAAACAGUUUUUAUAGGUUUAUACUGCUGUAGAAACUUUGUUUUAUAGCUGCAGGAUUUCACCGAAAUCAACCUUGGCCCUAAUGGCACUGUGAUAGACAUGUGGCUGGAUCUGAAAAAUCCAUCUUCUUUACUAAAGAGACACUUGACAAACACAACCAAGGUAAAGAGUUUUCUUUCUCAAGUCAGGUCAGUUUAUUUGCAGAGGUACAAAGUUUAACUUCAAGAAAGCUUUCUUAAGAGUUGGUGUUACAAAACAAGGAGACGCCAAAGAAAACUUAAUAAAAAAAAAAUAGCCUCCAUAUUUGUGCUGCAUCUCUGCAAAAUGCAAGGUGAAGAUGAAUAAAUGCAAUCAACUGCUACAAACUGUGGUUUCCAGGUCAAAGAAAGGCAAAAUUGAAAAACCUCGGAGGAAACCGUGAGGCUUGAGAGAGAGAGAGAUCUUCAUCCUUGUGUGUCCAUCAAACCAACUGUGACAGUCAAAUUUCAUGUCUUUGCUAUGUUUAAACUUACUUUAACAUCCAUCAUGUCAGUCAAGUUUCACAAGUUUUUAUUUUUCAGUACAUUAAUGUUGGUUAAGUUUCCUUUAUUCUGUUAGCUAUUAAGUCUUUAACACUUCUGUACAGGAAACCAUGGUGACUGAAUCUGAGCGUAAUAUAUAUCGCGACAAUCAUUUGAGUCCGUUUGCGUGAUUCGCGCGUCAACAGACUGCUUAAAAGCUGUGGAUAGCCGCUCAUGCUGAUUUCAGCAGUGAUCAUUGCCAGUUCAACCAGCGGGAUCAAGUGAUAGACAACAGUUUUUCACAAUUUACCAGAUAAUCUGGCCUCCUCACUCACUUUCCUCCAUGAUGGGAAUUCGCACUGCCCAAUUCGCGCCAUCUAAUCUGCAUGAUUUGCAUUUUUGCACUGACUUUACAUGUAAUUCAGUCAUGUAAAUCACUUUAUUCAUGCUUGGUGUGAAUGCCCCUCUCCAAUCUGCAUCAAUAAGUUUUUAAGGAGGUGCAUGUCUUCUUCGUGGGUUGAAUUUUCCAGUUGCUCAGUAUCUCGUGUUCACGUUGUUGCGUUGUUGCAUUUGCCCGAAGAUGUGAGCGCUGUCAUUAUAAUCGAGCAAUACUCACUCAUUCAAUGUUGGGCGUGCGUCUCUCCUGUUUCGCCAUCUCUCCGCUUCAUCCUCCUCAGCUCGAGAGACUCUUAAGCCUCUUCAAAGUCACCCCCACUCCCCACGGCUUUCCUCUCAGGGGCUCUCAUAAGGGCUGAAAUCCUCCUCAAAGAUCACGACUUACGUUUUAGGGAAAAUUCAGAGAAAACGUCAUGAAUCGCAGGAUUUUCUUAGAAUUUCAUCACCGGGAGAAACUCUGGAGACUAAGACAAGCCACUGGAGUCUGAUAAAACGGCUGUAACACACAACCUGAUUAUCAGAGCAUCAACAAGAACACUCUGUUAUAUUCUUUCUGCAGAAUCAAACUACCUCUUGUGUAUCUUGUGAAUCCACCCUCUCUAAACUCGGCCUCCUCUGUUCAGAAAAUCAAUUCUCUUUUUGCAGGAAUUCCAAUAAAUACACAGAAGCACAUGGGUGGAUCUGCAGGCUACAGUUUGAUUUUUCAGGCACGGCUGUUGUCAUUGCAGUGAUGUGGGUCUUUAAAGUAAUUGAUGAAAAUGUCUAAGAUUGCCGGUUGCAGCCCUCGUGUUAUUGUACAUACAGGAAAGCAUUUCAUAUAGGGGUUGGCGGAUAUACAACUCUGUGUUGUAAACAUGUUUUUCUCUUUCAGUUCCUGCAGAAUCCCAGAAGACUGACAAAAACACGCAGACUCGAAUCAGGCUCAAAGGCUUAAAUGUAAUUAAAACUAAUGAAAUAAUGAGAUGAGUUUUAAUAUAAGUGAAUGAAUAAAGAGGAUCAAAUGAAAAGCUUUAUCACAAGUUAAUUUAUGCAUAUCUUAAUGAGGAAUCACUCGAUUUCUAAUAUGAUGGUUGGGUGUUUAAAUCAGUUUGAUGACCCAGUUUUUAAUGAAGGAAUAAACAGCUGGAUUUACACCCUCAUCCUCACAGUUACACUUUCAUAUCUGUGCUCUCACGUUACUCAGCUAUCAGGAUCCUAUAUGUUUACCGGCUCUGUUUCCUCUUCUUCUGCAGGCUCUUUACUGAGACCUUGUCAGGGUUUUAAUGCCUCUUUACUUUCACCCUCCUCACACUAUCUACGCUACAAAAACAUACAUUCAUCCGCCAUGUCUGUACUAAACCUCCAUCAGGUCAAGGAUUGUUGACAAAGGCAGCUGCAUCUUCACUGGAGAGGUCCACAUGUUGGAUUUGGUUUGUUUGCAGCUGAAGUCACGUGUUUUCCCACUUGGUGCAUGUGUCUCAGUCACAUGCAACAAAUAGUUAUGUUUCGUCAAGGCUUCGAACACCUAAUAAACACCAUGCUAUGUUUGAGACGGACAGACCAGGAGCCGAGGAGAAAGACAGCAGCACCAACUGCUUGAGAAUUUGUUAUUUUGCUUUAGUCAUUUCCAGAAAAUUGUGAUUUAUUUGUGUUUUUUUAAGACAAGAUUUUGCCAGAGGAUCUUAGGUCACUUUCACACCUGACCAAGCGGACUUGUUUGGUCUGCACCAGAGUUCGGAUGAGCUUUCACAGCUGCCAAAACGAAGCGGAAUAUUCAAGGACACGAACUCCGGUCGGUUUAAAGCGGACCAAACAGCUCUGGUGUGAAAGUGACCUUAGUUUUCAUAUUAGUUUUAUCCCUGUUCUGUGACUUUUUCUCCACUUGCACUGUCUAAAGAAAUUAAAGAAAUAAAGAUGCAGCAAAUUGUUACCAAAAAAGUCAAAGUACUUUUGGUUGAAAUGCUGCUUUAGUAGGGAAAAUACAGCAGGCUGCAUGAGCGUAGUACGGCCUCCAGAGUCAGUGAUUGGAGCUGCAUGCUUAGCAACAGUCUGUUCUUCAUAGCAACGGUCUGCUAUCAACCAUCACAUACUACAUAUACUAAUGUUUCGUCAAGUCCUCUAACACCUAAUAAAACUAUGCUGUUUUUGUUACAGACUGACCAGGAGCCGAGGACAAAGACAGCAACACCACCUGCUUAAGAAUCAGUUUUUUUUUUAGUCAAGAUUGUGUCGGAG
rnacentral:lncRNA from 1 species